rnacentral:rRNA from 1 species
AUACAGAGGGUGCGAGCGUUAAUCGGAUUUACUGGGCGUAAAGCGUGCGUAGGCGGCUUUUUAAGUCGGAUGUGAAAUCCCUGAGCUUAACUUAGGAAUUGCAUUCGAUACUGGGAAGCUAGAGUAUGGGAGAGGAUGGUAGAAUUCCAGGUGUAGCGGUGAAAUGCGUAGAGAUCUGGAGGAAUACCGAUGGCGAAGGCAGCCAUCUGGCCUAAUACUGACGCUGAGGUACGAAAGCAUGGGGAGCAAACAGGAUUAGAUACCCUAGUAGUCC